UACGUAGGGUGCGAGCGUUGCCCCGGAUUUAUUGGGCGUAAAGGGCGCGUAGGCGGCUCGGCACGUCCGUUGUGAAAUCGCCCGGCUCAACUGGGCGGGGUCAGCGGAUACGGUCGAGCUUGAGCAAGCUAGGGGGCAAUGGAAUUCCCGGUGUAGUGGUGGAAUGCGUAGAUAUCGGGAGGAACACCAGUGGCGAAGGCGGUUGCCUGGACCGGAACUGACGCUGAUGCGCGAAAGCGUGGGUAGCAAACAGG
rnacentral:rRNA from 1 species